rnacentral:rRNA from 1 species
UACAGAGGUCUCAAGCGUUGUUCGGAUUCAUUGGGCGUAAAGGGUGUGUAGGUGGCGCCGUAAGUCGGGUGUGAAAUUUCGGAGCUUAACUCCGAAACUGCAUUCGAUACUGCGGUGCUUGAGGACUGGAGAGGAGACUGGAAUUCAUGGUGUAGCAGUGAAAUGCGUAGAUAUCAAGUGGAACACCAGUGGCGAAGGCGGGUCUCUGGACAGUUCCUGACGCUGAGGCGCGAAGGCCAGGGGAGCAAACGGG